GAUUAUUGGGCGUAAGCGCGCGCAGGCGGCCUUUUAAGUCUGAUGUGAAAGCCCACGGCUUAACCGUGGAAGGUCAUUGGAAACUGGAAGGCUUGAGUACAGAAGAGGAAAGCGGAAUUCCACGUGUAGCGGUGAAAUGCGUAGAGAUGUGGAGGAACACCAGUGGCGAAGGCGGCUUUCUGGUCUGUAACUGACGCUGAGGCGCGAAAGCAUGGGGAGCAAACAGGAUUAGAUACCCUGGUAGUCCAUGCCGUAAACGAUGAGUGCUAAGUGUUAGGGGGUUUCCGCCCCUUAGUGCUGGAGCAAACGCAUUAAGCACUCCGCCUGGGGAGUACGGCCGCAAGGCUGAAACUCAAAGGAAUUGACGGGGACCCGCACAAGCGGUGGAGCAUGUGGUUUAAUUCGAAGCUACGCGAAGAACCUUACCAGGUCUUGACAUCCCGCUGACCGGUAUAGAGAUAUACCUUUCCCUUCGGGGACAGCGGUGACAGGUGGUGCAUGGUUGUCGUCAGCUCGUGUCGUGAGAUGUUGGGUUAAGUCCCGUAACGAGCGCAACCCUUGACCUUAGUUGCCAGCAUUCAGUUGGGCACUCUAAGGUGACUGCCGGUGACAAACCGGAGGAAGGUGGGGAUGACGUCAAAUCAUCAUGCCCCUUAUGACCUGGUGCUACACACGUGCUACAAUUGGACGGUACAGAGGGUU
rnacentral:rRNA from 1 species